CAGCCGCGGUAAUUCCAGCUCUCAAGGUGUAUAUCCCUAUUGCUGCGGUUAAAAAGCUCGUAGUUGGAUCUACGCCUCAGGACACGGUCCGCCUUUGGGCGCGCACUGUGAUCCUAGGCAGUUACUGCUGGUUUUCUGCCGGUGGCCUUAACUGGUGGCCGGUAGUGGCUAGCGAGUUUACCUUGAGUAAAUCAGAUUGCUCAAGAAAGGCGUUUCGCCUGAAUGUUUGUGCAUGGAAUAAUGGAAUAGGACUUCGGUUCUGUUUUGUUGGUUUUCUGAACUGAAGUAAUGAUUAAGAGGAACAGACGGGGGCAUUCGUAUCGCUGCGUGAGAGGUGAAAUUCUUGGACCGCAGCGGGACGCCCAACAGCGAAAGCAUUUGCCAAGAAUGUUUUCAUUAAUCAAGAACGAAAGUCAGAGGAUCGAAGGCGAUUAGAUACCGCCCUAGUUCUGACCGUAAACGAUACCAACUAGCGAUCCGCCGGUGGUAAUUACGCCCUGGCGGGGAGCUUCCCGGAAACGAAAGU
rnacentral:rRNA from 1 species